rnacentral:rRNA from 1 species
ACGGAAGGCAGCAGUAGGGAAUCUUCGGCAAUGGGGGCAACCCUGACCGAGCAACGCCGCGUGAGUGAAGAAGGUUUUCGGAUCGUAAAGCUCUGUUGUAAGAGAAGAACGUGUGUGAGAGUGGAAAGUUCACACAGUGACGGUAACUUACCAGAAAGGGACGGCUAACUACGUGCCAGCAGCCGCGGUAAUACGUAGGUCCCGAGCGUUGUCCGGAUUUAUUGGGCGUAAAGCGAGCGCAGGCGGUUUAAUAAGUCUGAAGUUAAAGUCAGUGGCUUAACCAUUGUUCGCUUUGGAAACGUUUAGACUUGAGUGCAGAAUGGGAGAGUGGAAUUCCAUGUGUAGCGGUUAAAUGCGUAGAUAUAUGGAGGAACACCUGUGGCGAAAGCGGCUCUCUGGUCUGUAACUGACGCUGAGGCUCGAAAGCGUGGGGAGCAAACAGGAUUAGAUACCCUGGUA